UUGAAAUAAGAUAAAAUUAUCCGGAGGAAGUAGAAGGAGGAAAGGAAAUGAUACGCAUUUCUAACUAUUAAGAAAAGCUUGUUAAUAUAUUUUAAAGAUCAUGCAUAUUAAUCAACUAUGAUAUUUAGCUUCCAUUGGAUGCAUUUGAAAGUGUGUCCAGAAUGGGUGUGUUCUUGGUCUUGCUGACUUCAAGAAUAGCCGUGGACCCUUAAGAUGAGUGUUACAGUUCUAAUGGUGGUGCGUCUGGAGCUGUUCAUUCCUUCUGGUGGGUUCGUGGUCUCACUGUCCUCAUGAGUGAAGCUGCAGACCUUCGCAGUGAGUGUCACAGCUCAUAAAGGUGGUGCGUCCAGAGUUGUUCGUCCCUCCCGGUGGGUUUGUGGUCUCGCUGGCCUCAGGAGUAAAGCUGCAGACCUUCGCCAUGAGUGUUACAGCUCAUUAAGGCACACCCACCCAAAGAGUGAGCAGCAGCAAGCUUUAUUGCAAAGAGCGAAAGAACAAAGCUUCCACAGCUCCAAAGGGAACGCCAGCUGGUUGCCACUGCUGGCGCUGGCAGCCUGCUUUUAUUCCCUUAUCUGACCCCACCCACAUCCUGCUGAUUGGUUCAUUUUACAGAGAGCUGAUUGGUCCAUUUUACAGAGAGCUGAUUGGUCCAUUUUACAGAGAGCUUAUUGGUCCGUUUACAAUCCUUUAGCUAGACACAAAAGUUCUCCAAGUCCCCACUAGAUUAGCUAGACACAGAGCACUGAUUGGUGCAUGUAUAAACCUUGAGGUAGACAUAGGGUGCUGAUUGGUGUAUUUACAAACCUUGAGCUAGACACAGAGUGCUGAUUGGUGCAUUUACAAACCUUGAGCUAGACACAAAGUGCUGAUUGGUGCAUUUACAAUACUCCAGCUAGACAUAAACGUUCUCCAACUCCCCACCUGACUCAGGAGCCCAGCUGGCUUCGCCUAGUGGAUCCCAAGCCAGGGACGAGGGCAGAGCUGCCCACCAGUCCCGCAGCGGCAUGCCCGCACUCCUCAGCCCUAGGUUGAUGGGACCCAGCGCCGUGGAGCCGGGGGUGGCCUCCUUCAGAAGCCCAUGCCGGGGGGCUGGCUCUUGAGCACAGCGGGCUGCAAGUCCCGAGCCCUGCCCCACGGGGAGGUGGCUGAGGCCCAGCAAGAAUUCAAGAGCAGCGUGGGCCAGGCAGCAGUGCUGGGGGACCCGGUGCACCCUCCACAGCUGCUGGCCUGGGUGCUAAUCCCUUCACUGCCCAGGGCCUGCGGCUCUGGCUGGCCACUCCUAGUGUAGGGCCCACGGAGCCCGUGACUGAUCCCAGAGAAGCCCAUGGGAGCCCCAGGGAGAGUUUUCUUUGUGAAGGGCAGGGCACCCUGGAAUGGGUUUGCCGAGCCCGCUCCCACCCGGAACUCACGCUUGCCCACAAGCGCCCCACACAGCCCUGGUUCCCACCUGCGCCUCUCCCUCCACACCUCCCCGCAAGCAGAGGGAGCCAACUCCGGCCUUGGCCAGCCCAGAGCGGGGCUCCCACAGUGCAGCGGUGGGCUGAAGGCCUCCUUAAGUGUGGCCAGACUGGACGCUGAGGCCAAGUAGGCAUGGAGAGCGAGUGAGGGCUGCUAGCAUGUUGUCAUCUCUCAAAAGGACGAUGCACAGUUUUAUUGCAAAGUAUCAAUAUUUACAGUACUCUUGUCAUUUACACAACCUUGUCAUUUUUGUCCUUUGUAUUUUACCCUCUAAUUUUUUUCCUUUGCCCUUUACUUCCAUGAUCAGGAACUGGCUUUCUCAUCAGGGCUAAUUUUUCACAAAGAAUCUGCAUUUGAAUCAAAUCAUGAGAAAUAUACAAAGCAGAUGAGAGAGAAGCCCAGGCUUCCCUGGCACCCACAUUCUGAGUAGUGGGCCAGCCCUGCUCAGCAGCCAAGUGGAGUGGGUCCACCCACCAGCCCUGCUCCACAUUUCUGCAUACCAUGGAGUAUGGUGGUCAUGACUACUGCUCACUAAAUAUUCCCCCGUCCCUCCAAGCACUUUCCCACAAUCUUGGAAGGCAGGUGCAGCCAUAUGACUGACUUUGCCUAGGACAUGUGGGAUAAAAUGGUAGUGUUGCUCUUGGGCAAAUAUUUUAAAAGCCAAUCUUUAUGAAGCCAUGUUAUCUUCCUCCUGCCACAGUGAUUGUAGAAGGAUGUGCCAAGAGGGAGGUGCUGUGAGGUGGGCCCCAAUGUACAGAAGUCUCAGCUGACCCUGUGGUGGCAAUGCAGCCUUCUUAUUUAAACCACUGAUAUAUUUGGUCUUAUUUGUUACUGCAGCACAACCUCACCCACGCUGAGUAGCACCAUGAGUCAUUUGCAAACAGCUGAAACUUCAAAUGUUAACUCUGUGAAAUGCAAAGUUAUUCCACAUUCAGCUCCUCUUUAUAACCAUUUAUUUUUUUUUACAAAACCCACCAUGCUUUGUCAAGUCAAAUUUUUGUAUCUGACUUUUUGGAAUAAAUUUCUUACAUGGACAAAUUUGCAUUUUCUCUUCUGAUUUGACCUCAGGACCUCAGGACCUUUGACCAAGGACCCAGGGAUUCACCACUCAUCCUGUUGAAUUUUGCUACUUCCCAUAGGUCUUUGAGCUUGAGGUCAGUAGUGAUCACUUCUCGGCUCCUGCCUUCUCUGACUCUUGAGACAUUUCUUUAAAAUUCCGUUUCCUUCUCUGAUCCCAGGUCAGAAGCUCUUGUGCAUAAGCAGGCCUGGUGUCCAUCAACAUUCACUAUCAAAUAAGAAUGUCAGUGUGAAGGCCUUUCCCACAGAAACACCAGGUGCAGCUAAGGGAAGCCGGAGGAAGUGGGUCAUUAGCCCAGAAGAGUGAAGGAAACUGAUUCGUGAGUCAAAACGACAUUACCCACUGUUCCACUAAAGAAGAUACAGACUCGAACCCCAUUCUGCAUUUACCAAUCCACUGAUGAGUGACCAGCUCUGAAGGCUGAUGGGAAUCUUUGCCCCUUUAAACCAACCAAGAAGCUCAUUUACACAUUAAAAAAGAAAAAAAUAUCCAUUUUAGACAAUGAUUUUCUGGCUUAAUAGUGGUAGAAUAACUGUGAUUCUCACUUUGUAACUCUAAAAAGAUAUUUUUUCCUCCAUGCACGUAAACGUUUCUCCAUCUCUCUGGGGUCUUGGCAUAUCAGGGAUCCAACAGUUUUUAAAGUAGAGGAAAACCAGAGCACCCAAUCCAGCAUCAACGUCCUAAUUGAGGUCAGCCCCUCUUGGGUAAAUCUUAAGCCGCACAUCCUCAUGUUCCAAUGGUCCUGGUUUUAAUGUUUUCUUAAUUUCUCCACUAUACGCCUAACUGAAACCACCCAAAGCUAAUUAGAUGCUCUGUCUUAAAGGUACAGAAGGAUGCCUGCAAGAGAAAGCUGAUAGCUUGAUAACUCUUCUUGCAGAACCAGCUGAAUCUAGAGACUGAGUAGUAACUGGCCAUCUGGUAUGAUUUCAGGGGUCUAUGUACCAUUGCCUUCUUCCUGGAUUGCUAUGUGCCCUCAAUCCUACCAUUACUGCUCCUUUCAGGCUGAGACACCAAACACCCCUUUUAAAGUAAAAACAGCAUAUAAUUGGAAGAUUGUAUCAGUCAGCACUCUUGGUUGCAUGCAACAACAACAAAACCUAAGUUAAAUAGCUUUAAAUGAAAUAAAUUUAUAAUAUCAGAUAACUAGAAUGUGGAAGGAGUAGCUUGUUAGUUUCAGGCACAGCCAGAACAAAAGUCUCAUUGCAUCUCGUUGGACUUAAGUGUCACAUACUCAUCCCUGGACCAGUCAGAGCUGUGGAAAAAAAGAGCCUGAUGGUUUUAGUCCACCUGACACAGAGGGUUGGUCCAGCCAUUGGAGGGUGGUUACCCAGGGGAAACUGGAAUUCAGUUACCCAAAGAUGGUACAAUAGAUUCUGGGUAGCCAAAAAUAAAUAUACUACAAAGUUCGUAUUCUUUAAAGAGAUUUAUAAACAAGAAUGAGAUGCACAGAAGCAAAGUUUCACUAUCCCUGUCUAAAGAUGAAACCACUAACUUACUACCUGGGUUGACAUCUCAGAUUAGGUACCUGUGACCUUGGAAAGAGAAGUCCUAUUAGGGUUGGGACACAAACCAGGAACGUUUGAACUGAGGAAAGGAAUUCAAAGCUCCUAAGAUGGAGAACUGGCCAAGUGAGGCACAAGAGAAUGGAGGCAACCAGCAGAAUGAAGGGAGGUUCUGGAUGGAUCCUCAAUAUAAAGAAGAACAUAACAACAAUGAGGGCAGCCAUGGAUGAUGGGCUUGCUAUGUGCCAGGCACUAUGCUAAUCACUGUCUGCAUAUUAACACAUUCACAUUUCACAGCAAUUUUAAUGUUUAUGAAAGUCAUUUCCAUUUUACAGUAAGACAACUGAGACAUGGAGGGCUUGAUAAAGUUAGUGGUGGUGAUGCUGAGACUUGAACUCAGGCAGUCUGUUCCAAAGUUCACAUGCUCAGACAAGUUAUGGAAGAAUCGCCCAGAACCAGAGCACCAGAACGGUGAUGCUGGCAGUAGAUGCUGAAGCUCCUUAGAGCAACUGUCUCUUCAUGAGUAAUGGGGAAACUGGGGCCUCUAUAACUGGGCACUGUUCUACCCCAGGAUAUUAGUUAGGACCCCUUCCUUCGGUAGCCAGCAACAGAAAAUGCAGACCAGACUUGUUUCAGUAAGAAGGGAAUUUGUUUUCUCCCAAAACAAAAUAACAAAAUAUCUAAGUAUUGUACUGGUUUCAGGGACAGUAGAUUCUGGACUCAAUUCAACUUGACUCAGUUUCCCUGAUGCCUUGACUCUACCCUCAGCUGUGUUAGCUUCAUUCUGCAGCUCUAGUAGCAAGUUAUGGCACAGCCUCAUCAUCCAAGUUUCAAUCCUGCAGAAAAGGGCCACAAGUUUCCAGGGAAGUCCGGAGACUCAUUCUGAUUGGGUCACCAUUAGGUCAUGUGCUCACUCACCCCUGAUAAAUUGCUGUUGCCAGAGCACACCACGUGGUGAUUAGCUUAGCUCUAGAAAAGCUACAUACUGAUUGGCUUAGCUCUGGAAAAGCUGCAUGCUGAUUAGCUUAGCUCUGGAAAAGCUACAUGCUGAUUGGGCUUACCUCUGGAAAAGCUACAUGCUGAUUGGUUUAGCUCUGGAAAAACUACAUGCUGACUGGUUUAGCUCUGGGUCUUGGGCUAGAGUUCUGACUGCAGCUCAUAUAGAUUGAAAUAUAGAGGGGAGAUUUUUCAAAUGAAAAUGGUGAAGAUGGGAGUUUUGUUUCUAAAAUAAAGUGAUAAAGGUGCAAGGACUAAAGAACAGCUCUUCGUAAUACCCAGUCUCCUAUGUGAGAAAAGUUUAUUGUUUUCUUAGCUUAUAUUGCAGCGAAUUCAAAUGCAUGUAACCCACAAUGACCUCUUCCAGGCUGUUAUCUUGUAAAGUGACCCAUAUCCUUUCAUCUAUUUCCAUACUCACCUACAUGUGUUUGGAAAAUGGAUUCGAAGCCGGGCGCAGUGGCUCACACCUGUAAUCCCAGCACGUUGGGAGGCAGAGGCGGGCAGAUCACCUGAGCUCAGGAGUUUGAGACCAGCCUGGCCAACAUGGCAAAACCCCGUCUCUACCAAAAAAAUACAAAAAUUAGCAGGGGCAGGGGAAGAACUGCUUUAUCUUAAAGUCAAUCAUUGAUGACACCUCCUAUCACUGAGUAUUGAUUGGGUUAGGGUGGGUCUAACAGAUAAACGACUCUUAAGAAUUCAAGUUUAGCAAGUCGUUUAUAACCAGAAGCUCCUGCGUUACUUACAGAAAACAGAUAACAAGCCUGCGGCAGAGGCAGAAGAUCAAGUACCAAGAAGGAGGGAAAGAUUUAUGUGGCCCUAAGUCAACAAGAAAAACCACAGUGAGAAUCGAAGUGUCAGCGUCUGCAAAGAAGAUUCCCUCAGAGCUGUUCUUUCUGCUUCCAGAUGAAUGGAAGUGAGAAAAGUAUAUCUAUUAAAAUGCGUGUGGCUGUCAGCAACCAAAGACUUGAUUAACAGACUUGAAGAAUCAUAUAGAUUGUCCCCUAUAACAGAGGGGAUGAAGAAUGCAGCUCAACCAUAUCUGUCUCUCUGCUCUGCCUUCCUUAGCAGAUUGACUUGUUCUUAAGCAUGGCUCCUCAUGCUCACAGAAAGGCUGCUUCGGUUCCAGCAUGUUGUUCUCAACCAAUUAUUUUCAAAGGCAGGAAGGAGAGUUUCUUCUUGUGCCUCCGUUGCAUUACGAAACAAAAUUUUUCCUUGAACUCUUCCCACCUCAGAAUAUUGACUCUCUCGUUGCAUUGGUCAGGUUUGGGUCCCAUGGCUGCUUCUGGAUGCAAAGGAGGCUGAGCAAGAAGCAUUUGGUAUAUUUGGGCUCUAGAGGAAGAGAAGCAAGCACCAUGCAAGACAGAGAUAGGGGGCUGGGGCUGUAGCGGGCCACAUUGGGGGUGACCCUUAGCUCCCGCCUCGUAAAGACAGCUAAAGCCUUCUGUCCAGUUUUAUUUUGUUUUUUUCUCCUGGGGGCUACUUGGCCAUUUGGACAGGAUUGUGUGUCAUACAUUACCAUCCCUGAACCCUUACACUAAAUUCUAGAAAUGACACCCACCAUGAGUUAUUGUGACAAUGCAAAACUCUAGAUGUUUUUAAAUUAGCAGAACUGUCCCCCGUCUACAUCAAAGAUUCUUAAAAUAUGUGAAUUUUGUUCAGGCCGGUGUGGUGGCUCACACCUGCAAUCUUAGCACUUUGGGAAGCUGAGGUGGGAGGAUUGCUUAACUCCAGGAGUUGGAGACCAGCCUGGGCAACAUAGUGAGACUGUCUUUACAAGAAAUCAAAAAAUUAGCCAGACAUGGUGGCGUGUACCUGUGGUCCCAGCUACUCAGGAGACUGAGGUGGGAGGAUCACCUGAGCCCUGGAGGUUGAGGGUGCAGUGAGCUGUGAUCGCUCCACUGCACUCCGGCCUGAGUGACAGAGAGAGAGCAGGAGAGAGAGAGAGAGAGAGGCUCCUGGAUUGAGGGGAGGGUUUCAGGGGGUGUAAUAUAUUUAAUGUAUCACAUGGAGCACCCACCCCCAGUUUCAACCAGAGCAACUGGGUUUCUAGCCAGUUUUACAAAUUGAGAUUUUAUAAAAGGUUCUCUUUGCAGAAAAUAUUAAUAUUUGGAAAUAGUUGAAAAUGACUAUUUGAGUCUCAGCUGGAGUUGGGUGAAUUCAAACUGUCUUUUUCAGGAGAACAAUCAGUCAACAUGGUUAUUUUACCCAGCAAAUAUGUCAGACUAAAUUUUUGAUAGUUGAUAGAAUAAAUUGUGGCUAGUUGACAGAUUGCAUUUUCUUCUGUUUCUUACUUUCAGGGGGCAUCUGUUUUUCAGAUUCAGCUUUUAUUCUCACCAGAAAUGGAUCUUAGAAACCCUUUUGUGUGCUGGCCUUAGAGUCAUGGAAAACGCUCCAGGCAAAGUAAUCCUGGCUGGUGGCCAGAUUGUUUCUUUUUGUUUGGGUGUUUAACAAAUUUUUUCUUCUAAUUCACGCAUCUAUGGUGUGUUAAGGAAAAUGGGAUAAUUUAGGUUGUGUUUUUUUCUUCUUCUUCCUUUAGAAUGGAAAAAUAAAACUUGGCUAGAGUUGACUGUCUCCUAAUCCCCAAUAGGAACCUGACAUUUUUAUGUUGCUUUUUCACCCUCUCCAACCUGGCCUGAGGUGCAGGUGGGGAGCUGCUGGUAGAGUGUUACCAUAAUCCCACCCAGCAUGACAGAGACCUGCCUGAGGGCUUCAGGGGAGACUGAAGAGUCCCAAACACAUCUCUUGUCUAGGGUGAUGAAAAGCUGAUCUGGG
rnacentral:lncRNA from 10 species